ACUCCUACGGGAGGCAGCAGUGGGGAAUAUUGCACAAUGGGGGAAACCCUGAUGCAGCCAUGCCGCGUGUGUGAAGAAGGCCUUCGGGUUGUAAAGCACUUUCAGUAGGGAGGAAGGUAGUGUAGUUAACACCUGCAUUAUUUGACGUUACCUACAGAAGAAGCACCGGCUAACUCCGUGCCAGCAGCCGCGGUAAUACGGAGGGUGCGAGCGUUAAUCGGAAUUACUGGGCGUAAAGCGCAUGCAGGUGGUUUGUUAAGUCAGAUGUGAAAGCCCGGGGCUCAACCUCGGAAUUGCAUUUGAAACUGGCAGACUAGAGUACUGUAGAGGGGGGUAGAAUUUCAGGUGUAGCGGUGAAAUGCGUAGAGAUCUGAAGGAAUACCGGUGGCGAAGGCGGCCCCCUGGACAGAUACUGACACUCAGAUGCGAAAGCGUGGGGAGCAAACAGGAUUAGAUACCCUGGUAGGAUAGCG
rnacentral:rRNA from 1 species